GCGCCAUUAGCUCAAUGGGCAGAGCAGCUGACUCUUAAUCAGCGGGUUCGGGGUUCGAGUCCCUGAUGGCGCA
rnacentral:tRNA from 3 species